GAACAGAGGAAGAAAGUUUUGGGGUUGUAGGAAUUUUGUGAGUCAUGAUAUUGAAUGUAGAUGCAAUUACUUUGUUUGGGAUUCAGACUAUAUGCCUCAAACACAACAGAGAACUCCACAACAACUACAUACACAAUGUUUAGAGUGCCCCCAAAAGGAGUUGGAGAUUAUGACUCUUAGGAAUGUCAUUUUGAAGAUGCAUGGAGAUCACAAGUCAACCAUUAUUAAGAUGAAGUUGCUGCUAUUUUUAUGCGUUUUGUUUGGUGUAGCAUGUGUUGUUUUAUUGUUGAUCUUAGCUCUAAAAUGAGCUUAUUGUAGUAGAUGUAAUUUUCUUGAGGUUGAUGUAGUAGAUUUGUUGUAAGUAUGUAGUUAUGAUAGAGUUUGUUGUAUGGAAUUUGGAACUAUUAAUGUAAUUUUCUUUUGCAUCAAUUGUGGCUCCAAUGUUCUUGGUUGUUA